rnacentral:rRNA from 1 species
AACGAACGCUGGCGGCAUGCCUAACACAUGCAAGUCGAACGAGACCUUCGGGUCUAGUGGCGCACGGGUGCGUAACGCGUGGGAACCUGCCCUUAGGUUCGGAAUAACUCCCCGAAAGGGGUGCUAAUACCGGAUAAUGUCUUCGGACCAAAGAUUUAUCGCCGUUGGAUGGGCCCGCGUUGGAUUAGCUAGUUGGUAGGGUAAAAGCCUACCAAGGCGACGAUCCAUAGCUGGUCUGAGAGGAUGAUCAGCCACACUGGGACUGAGACACGGCCCAGACCCCUACGGGAGGCAGCAGUGGGGACUAUUGGACAAUGGGCGAAAGCCUGAUCCAGCAAUGCCGCGUGAGUGAUGAAGGCCUUAGGGUUGUAAAGCUCUUUUACACGGGAUGAUAAUGACAGUACCGGGAGAAUAAGCUCCGGCUAACUCCGUG